rnacentral:rRNA from 1 species
GCAUAUCAAUAAGCGGAGGGAAACAAAACUUUUCUUCUCUCCCCCUCUUCUCCUUUUUUUUUUUCUCCCCCUUUUCCUUCUCCCUCCCUCUAUCCUUUACCUCUCCCUAUUAACUCCAC